rnacentral:lncRNA from 10 species
UGCUUCUGACAGCAUCUCAGAGGAUGCUGUCCUCUGGCUUACUCUCUGGGAAAUGCUGCUCUGUUGGAAAUCCAGAGUUCUGAGUGAUUCCCACGUGUCUUCUGCUGCACAGCAGGACAUGCUGAAGUGAUUCCUUCAUGAGCAGAUGUUAGAGGUCUCCUUUUGACAGCUUGUUACAAAGUUGAUCACAAAUAUACUAUUACAGUAUGUAUUGGAUGGAGGAGCAUUAUGUAUGGAACCUCUCACAAAACAGCUCCUACUUUCAAGAAUGAAAAAGGUAUCCCAGCACUUUGGGAGGCCCGGGUCGGUGGAUCACAAGGGCUGAAGCAGUGCCUACUCCAUAGAAUCAGUCAUCAUGCAAAUAAAUGCCACCUGAGUCAAAGGCAAAGCCAACGUGCAGCUUGGAGCAAAGAAGUCAGCAACAGGUGUCUACGGGGAGGGCCCUGUGUCAUCUUCUACCCUGAAAGAUCUAGAGGUAAGAGGCCCUGGGCCGAGGGUCAGUGACC